rnacentral:rRNA from 1 species
GACGAACGCUGGCGGCGUGCCUAAUACAUGCAAGUCGGGCGAACGUAUUCUAAUCCUUCCACUCGGAUAUCAUCGCGGCACACGUGAGUAUCACGCGUAUAACACAUGCAUCAUACACGGAGACAACUGUUGAACACGAGAGCUUAUACCGUAUAACAGUGUUUCUCACGUGUCAAAUAUUUAAGAGUUGGUUAUUCUCACACUUUGAUAUGUCUUUGCGGUGCAUUAGCUAGUUGGUGGGGUAAAGGCCCACCAAGGCAACGAUGCAUAGCCGACCUGAGAGGGUGAUCGGCCACACUGGGACUGAGACACGGUCCAGACUCCUACGGGAGGCAGCAGUAGGGAAUCUUCCGCAAAGGGCGAAAGCCUGACGGAGCAACGCCGCGUGAGUGAAGAAGGACUUCGGUUCGUAAAGCUCUGUUAUUAGGGAAGAACGUAUAUGUAGGAAAUAGAGAUGUAAGAGACGGUACCUAAUCAGAAAGCCACGGCUAACUACGUG